GGGGGCGUUUUUUGGAUUCGACGGGGGUAGAUCGAGCAUGGGUAGCGGGUAGUGGGGACGCGUCCGCUUUAUCAACGCUAAAGCCAAUUAAACGGCAAACAAAACAACAACUUAGCUUUCGCAGCUUAAUAACCUGCGUGCUAGCUCUAUCUCUGCAUCGCCCAUGUGCCGGGAAUAGGGCCCAACUUUAGUGGGAUACGCCGUCUGGUCUCCGCCUGGGGCUGGCGGAAGAAGAUAAUCAGGCUGACCCGAAGGGAAUCCGGUGACAGGGAGUCCGAGUAUCGCUUACGAUGCUAGCAUUGCUUCGCAAUGCUUUCGGGUGACAUCAAAACUGUCACUACACCCGUAGAAACCUAUGUGGCGUUGCCUUCGGACAGGGGUUCGACUCCCCUCGCCUCCAUAU
rnacentral:tmRNA from 1 species